GGCCAGGUUGGGGGGCGGGGGGCAGCGCGGAGAGCCUGGCGCUGAAGGCGGGUCCCCUCCUCCACGAGGGGUCCCGGUGGGGGAGCGGGGUUGAUCUCCGGCGGGGUCCGCAGGCCCCAAUCCCAAUCCCGCCCACCUGCUUCUCCCUCAGGCGUUUCCUGCACCAGCUCCGCAGCGAGGGAGCGCCCGCAGCAGCGCCGUGCACCAGGUACUGUUGAAGUACCAGCCUGUUUCACUCCUCUUUCAAGAUAACUUGAAAAUCAGCAUGGCUUCUCCCUGCAAAGCCGCAGACUUCUUCUUUGUACUCAUUUCACUGCUGUUUCUACUGCCUGGGGUUGAAGCCCUGGAUCUUGGAGAUGCAGUUGCCCUCUUGCUGGGCUUAGCUUUCAGUGUCACUGGACUCUGUGCCUGUCUAGGCUGGUAUGCAAGAAGAAGAAAUGGACAGCUAUAACUUUCAGGAGAUGCCCAGGUCAAGAAUAAUUCUAAAGUUUUCUUGUUGGGAUUUAAGAUUUAAAACUGAGUGAAGUUUCUGGUAGCUUUCUGAAUCAUGAAGUGGGAUCCUUCAAACUUAUCUUGCUCUGCUAUGCCAGUAAUAAGGACUGUGCUUGGCAGAAAGUGUUUGCAAGAUCUAUUCCAGUAGCAGUAAGAUGAUUUCAUAUUGCUUGUGAUGAGAUACUGCCUUAACACUAAGGUGGAAAUGAGCUAUUUGAAGAAAAAUGUACUCAAACUGAUUAAGUAAAAGUUUUAAAUUUUUUUUUUUGAGCAAAAUGCUUGACUGACUCUACAAGUUGGAUUACAGUGGAUGGUCAGCAGAAAGGCAGCCAUUAAGAUGCUAGUCAGGAUAGAAACUUGGAAGUACUGAAUCUCUCAGUUUUAGAACUAAAGAGCCAGGCCUAUUUGUAAAUGCACAGGUUCUUCCUAAUGAGAAUUUAAAAGGAAAAAAAAACCCAUAAUAGCUCAUUUCUUUUGUCAUAGGGCUAAGACAUCGGAGCCUUAGAAAAAUGUGGAAAAAAUCUCUACUGGUAAAGCAUACCUCCACUGUAGCGUAGGUUUAUGUUACAAAUUAGAAUCAAUGAAUAGCUUUGUUUUGCAAGAGGACUAGUAUUUUUCUUUAAUAUGUGUAUGACGCAUAGGAAUGUCUGUAACAUGUCUACUGGUCAAAGGGAAAAAUUUAUGUUGUAAAAACUUGGAAAGACCAAAUGUUUUGUGCAUGUAUCUUCUUUGUUUACAUCUUACAACCAUUUCUCUCUGAAAUGGGUUCAGUUUGGGGUUUUGUUGUUUGCAGUAUCUUUAUAUUGGGAAAAAUCAAGAAAUCCAGUAAACUGUUUGACAAAAUUUUAAUAGCUGGUCAGUAGGCCCCACUUCAUGAUGAUGCUUUUAUGCCUUCUUUAGCUAGCACUGAUGCCCCAGUCCUAACUCCCCUGGGUUGUCCACUUGAGCUCUAUGCAAGAUUGUGGCCAAGGCUUGUGCCAAAAGAAAACAA